GCAAAAUCACAGCUUCAAGCACCCUUGUAAAACAUCAGCUGGAUAAGUCACGUGUCAUUGUCAGUAGAAAUCCUGACUGAGUGUCUGUCCUGUGGCCUGUGAUAUGCCUGGAAGAGCAGCACAUCUGUGGUCCUUUAUCCUGUUAAAUCAUCCCACUUUUCUAGCAAAUUCAGCCCUUUAUUUACUAGGGACUGAUCCAGGGCCCACUAAGGACAAGAAGAGUCUUUCUGUUGACUUCAGUGGACAUUGGAUGAGGUGUUUAGCAUGCUUUCUCUGCCAUGGAGGCAUAGACACAGUGGAUCACCUGAGGGCCUGAUCCUGAGGGAUGCUGAGUCCCUGCAGCUCCCAUUGACUGCAGCACCUCUCAGGAUCAGGUUCCUAAUGAACAGGCAUAAUAAAUAAAUAAUAAAUGUGCUUUUAAAUGUGUUGGACCUAAUAUUAUGGAGAGCCCCCCUUGAAACUGAUUACUCUUCCGGAUGAUCUGGGUCCUGCCAUUUUGUGGAUUGACCUGCUCAGAGGAUCACUUUCAACAGAUGAAAUUCUCUCAGGCAACUGAUUUUUGCUUGUUCUUUGGAUGGUUGCUUAAGAGAUGUCCCACUGUACUGAGAGAUACUUGAUACCAAGAAUGGCUGGAGAUUGUUGGGAUGAUACAGAGAAGAAUGAAAGGACAUAUUUAAAAGGAAAGCAAAGACCCCUGGCCACCGAGGAGGGCUCCUUAAAGACUGGGAAUGGACAAAGAAGGGUUCCCUCUGUACACAGGAGAGGAGAUCCAAAUGCAGAAAUAGG